rnacentral:lncRNA from 1 species
UACCAAUUUGGGCUGGCCCGAGCACGUCAAAUAGACGCCGAACGGACAGAGUUUUCCCUGUCUGCCCAAGGCUCAUCACCUGUAUAUUUUCAAACAAAAAGUGCACUAGCGGAAACAUACACAAACGGCUUACACGAGGGUAAGCAAUAGCCAUGAGUGAAAGAAAGGGAACUAAACAUCUACACAAGUACUAUAAUUCUCUUUUGAUCACAUACAUUACAUUUAACCUUCAUAUUCGUAAAGUUUUUACAAUUCAUUACAUACUUUUCAUCAUUUCUUUUUACAUCACAUUGCCUCAAAAUAAACUUUACAUUCUUUUUCGUUCUUUGCUUAUACAUUAACAUCUUAAAUCAUCAAAUACAAAAGAUGAUAAA